rnacentral:misc_RNA from 1 species
CUGAAAAUGUCAGAAACUGAACAACUG